UACGAAGGGGGCUAGCGUUGCUCGGAAUUACUGGGCGUAAAGGGAGCGUAGGCGGACAUUUAAGUCAGGGGUGAAAUCCCGAGGCUCAACCUCGGAACUGCCUUUGAUACUGGGUGUCUUGAGUGUGAGAGAGGUGAGUGGAACUCCGAGUGUAGAGGUGAAAUUCGUAGAUAUUCGGAAGAACACCAGUGGCGAAGGCGACAUACUGGAUCAUUACUGACGCUGAGGCUCGAAAGCGUGGGGAGCAAACAGG
rnacentral:rRNA from 1 species